GCGUGUGUAUCGAGUCAUGUAGUAUAUGUUAUUGUAAAAUGAUAUCAAUACCAUGAAGGUUAAAUUUUGAGUAAAUAAUUAUACAUGAAAGAAUAAGGUAGUAGUUUUCAUGAUUAAUUAUAAUUAAGUGCAAUAAUUGUUUAGUACUCAUAGCGGAUAGACGUGUUGGGCGGGGAUAAAGGUGGCUAGUGUUGAAAAUUGAUGGUG
rnacentral:lncRNA from 1 species